rnacentral:rRNA from 1 species
UGAACGCUAGCGGCAGGCUAACACAUGCAAGUCGAGGGGCAUCGCGGUGUAGCAAUACACUGGCGGCGACCGGCGAAAGGGUGAGUAACGCGUGAGCAACAUGCCCGGUACUGGGGGAUAGUCAUUGGAAACGAUGCGUAAUACCCCGUAACACAUGGAGCGGCAUCGCUUCGUGUUAAGAGAUUUAUCGAUACCGGAUUGGCUCGCGUACCAUUAGCUAGUUGGCGGGUAACGGCCACCAAGGCGACGAUGGUUAGGGGUUCUGAGAGGAAGGUCCCCACAUUGGAACUGAGACACGGUCCAGACUCCUACGGGAGGCAGCAGUGAGGAAUAUUGGUCAAUGGCCGAGAGGCUGAACCAGCCAUGCCGCGUGCCGGGGAAGACGGCCCUAUGGGUUGUAAACCGCUUUUGUCGGGGAGCAAUAAGUCUUACGAGUAAGAUGAUGAGAGUACCUGGCGAAUAAGCAUCGGCUAACUCCGUGCCAGCCGCUGC